CAUACAACACGGAGCACGAGCCGCCGUACUGGCGCGGCCAGGUGUGGGUCAACGUCAACUACCUGGCGCUCGCGGCCCUGCGCCACUACGGCACCGCGGGCGGGCCACACGCCGCGCGGGCGCUCGCGCUGUGGGAGCGGCUCAAGCAGAACGUAGUCGGCAACGUGGUGUCGCAGUACCAGCGCAGCGGGUACGUGUGGGAGCAGUACUCGGACCGCGACGGCACCGGCUCGGGCUGUCGGCCCUUCACCGGCUGGUCGGCGCUGUUCGUGCUCAUGAUGGCCGACCACUACUGAACCACAGACUGUACCAGGGCACGACACAAACAGUAAAUAACAAUUACAGUUAAUCGACACAUUCCAUUUUAAAGCGGCGUUUACACUAUUCGAGUACGCUCUGACCGAGUGUCAUAUCAACAGGCACCCGGGACAUAUUUUGUGGUUGUUGCAGUCUUUAAUAAUACCAGUUUAAAAAUAUUAUUGUCAGCAAAACAUCUUUUAAUAAUUUCAAUAAUUCCCAUAUAAUAAUACAUCGAACCCACGAUGUUCAAAGGUGAGUUGACAAUUCGAGCAAUUUCGAAACAACAACCUUUCAAAACGUACUUUACAAAUAAAUUACUUUUGCAACAAUCAUUCAUCAGUUAGUUGUAUUCGGCACAGGACGUGGUGUGCCAAGUAAGUGCCAGAUGUCAUAAUGACAUUGUCAUUUGAAGACGUCAAAAUAACAACUGUCAGUUGAGCAAAGAUAAACUGAUUGUGUGAACGACACACGUUCGUGUUCUGACGUGUAGGGUUUUAUUGAUAUUUCCUUUGCAGGUUGUUGACGUUGGCUGGUAAACAUGAAGAAAGAGUUAUUAAUAAAGACUACACCUAGAAACUUGACGGGUGUUAUUGACUUAUGUCACGGCACGUUGGCACACUCACCGCGGCCACGGGACAUAAGGGUGUCCCUGUGGUAGAUUUUUAGUACAGGAUGUCAGCGACAGCCAGGUACCAUCGGCCAAGAGAUGUGUUUCUGGUCUUUAAGUCGGGAGUGUGCUGUAAGCCUUAUUUUAUAAAAUUCAACUGUACUGGGAUAGUGCAAACCCUGCUUUAGUCUCAAGUCAGCUAGUGACAGCCCUGGGUCGUAACAAUCAUAAUUUGAUUUAUUCAUAGGAAAAUAUGUCGUAUGUUAUGAGUACUUAUGUUUCGGCCAUUCUCCAUAUAAAUAGAAGAUUCGUAGUCAGAAGUGACUUGCCAAAAAAUAUGAAGAAUUGUUAACUAUUAGAAUUAUAAGUAACAUCAUAUAAAUCACUUUUUGUACUAUACAUGUAUUUUUAUUUAAACUCUUGAAAAGUUGUUUGUCGUUAGAUGUCCGGAACCUGUGGUUGAAUGUGAAAUUUAAUUUGAGAUAUUUAUAAUAUUAUUGAGUUUAAAUGACCCGUUUUUCAUUAAGUUCAGUUGUAAAAGACAUAAAAUUCAUUUAUUUAUCAAAAUUGAUUCUAUUUGAAUACUCUGCCGUGAAGCAGUAAUGUGUAAGCAUUAUUGUUUCGUUCUGCAGGGCGCCGUAUAUAUUACCGCCAAAAUGAAACGCUUCUGUUAUAAUAUUAUAUUUGUAUAUUUUAAAGUGACAUCCCUUACUUCUGGGACUAAUUAAAAAAAAAUAAGUUGUAACCAAAAUUUCGCUCGAUCGAACCCGCGACCAGUCGGGUUCCGUCCGAGCGCUCUUACCAACUGAUGAACGGUUAUGGUUCGUAAAUCUUGUUCAACUCUCAGGUUGUGGCUCCAUCUACAGGGUCUACUUUGCAGUUGAUAAUCUGCUCAACCCCAAUAAUUGCAUAUAAGGUCAUUAAUUGAUUUAAAAUGUAAACAAUUUGCUAUUUUAAAAGUGAUAUCCCUGUAGUAGAUAGAUCCGUAUUAUUAUAUCUUAGAAAAAAUAUGAUAACGGCACCAUAUCUUUGAAAAAUUAUUGUUAGAAGCUAGAGCAGCUUCACAGUGCUAUUAAUAAUUAUAAAUUGUUAGUUCGUUUUAUUGCCACACGAUAGUAUUACUUGACAGACUUUAACAUCUUUAUAAAUCCAUAGAUAUUAGUAAGAUAUUCUAAUUUAAUUAAGAAUGCAGUAGGCAGGUAGGUUCUGUUAUUAGUUUGUAAUAUCCAGAACAUAAUAUGAUGUCAACAUCUCAACCUCUCAUUGUUAUUUGGCAUACUGUCUUGACGUAUGUUCUUUAUUUAUUGUAAAUAAACUUGUAAUUUAUAUUA